AGCAGCCGCGGUAAUUCCAGCUCCAAUAGCGUAUAUUAAAGUUGUUGCAGUUAAAAAGCUCGUAGUUGAAUUUCGGGACCAAUAUGUUGGUCGUGCCUCGGUACGUACUGGUAUUAUUGGUUUCUCCCUUCUGAAGAACCUCGAUGCCAUUUAUUUGGUGUCGUGGGGAAUCAGGACUAUUACUUUGAAAAAUUAGAGUGUUUAAAGCAGGACAUACGCUUGAAUACAUUAGCAUGGAAUAAUGAAAUAGGACGUUUGAUUCUAUUUUGUUGGUUUCUAGGAUCGACGUAAUGAUUAAUAGGGAUAGUUGGGGGCAUUAGUUAUUCAAUUGUCAGAGGUGAAAUUCUUGGAUUUAUUGAAG
rnacentral:rRNA from 1 species